GGGGGCACCCUGAUCAGCCAUGCCGCGUGAGUGAAGAAGGCCUGCGGGUUGUAAAGCUCUUUCGGUGAGGAAGAAAGUGUUAGGGUGAAUAUCCCUGACGAAUGACGGUACCUGACUAAAAAGCACCGGCUAACUCCGUGCCAGCAGCCGCGGUAAUACGUAGGGUGCGAGCGUUAAUCGGAAUUACUGGGCGUAAAGCGUGCGCAGGCGGAUGCGUAAGUCAGAUGUGAAAUCCCCGGGCUUAACCUGGGAACUGCGUUGGAUACUGCGCGGCUAGAGUAUGGCAGAGGGGGGUAGAAUUCCUGGUGUAGCAGUGAAAUGCGUAGAUAUGUGAAGGAACACCGAUGGCGAAGGCAGCCCCCUGGGCCAAAACUGACGCUCAUGCACGAAAGCGUGGGGAGCAAACAGGAUUAGAUACCCUGGUAGUCCACGCCCUAAACGAUGUCAACUAGUUGUCGGGGAGGGUGACCUCUUUGGUAACGCAGCUAAC
rnacentral:rRNA from 1 species